rnacentral:rRNA from 1 species
GACGAACGCUGGCGGCGGGCUUAACACAUGCAAGUCGAACGGAAAGGCCCUGCUUUUGUGGGGUGCUCGAGUGGCGAACGGGUGAGUAACACGUGAGUAACCUGCCCUUGACUUUGGGAUAACUUCAGGAAACUGGGGCUAAUACCGUAUAGGAGCUCCUGCUGCGUGGUGGGGGUUGGAAAUUUUCGGCGGUUGGGGAUGGACUCGCGGCUGAUCAGCUUGUUGGUUGGGUAGUUGCUUACCAAGGGUUUGACGGGUAGCCGGCCGGAGAGGGUGACCGGCCACAUUGGGACUGAGAUACGGACCAGACUCCUACGGGAGGCAGUAGUGGGGAAUAUUGCACAAUGGGAGGAAGCCUGAUGAAGCAACGCCGCGUGCGGGAUGACGGCCUUCGGGUUGUAAACCGCUUUAGCCUGUGACGAAGCGUGAGUGACGGUAAUGGGUAAAGAAGCACCGGCUAACUACGUG